rnacentral:rRNA from 1 species
UACGUAGGGUGCAAGCGUUGUCCGGAAUUAUUGGGCGUAAAGAGCUCGUAGGCGGUUUGUCGCGUCUGCUGUGAAAACUGGAGGCUCAACCUCCAGCCUGCAGUGGGUACGGGCAGACUAGAGUGCGGUAGGGGAGAUUGGAAUUCCUGGUGUAGCGGUGGAAUGCGCAGAUAUCAGGAGGAACACCGAUGGCGAAGGCAGAUCUCUGGGCCGUAACUGACGCUGAGACGCGAAAGCGUGGGGAGCGAACAGG